rnacentral:lncRNA from 1 species
UGCCCCAGGGCUGCCCGGUGAGUGCAGUCCAUUUCUUGCAGGCUGGUCCUAAGCAGCAGCCUCCUCCUGUCCCUUCUAAAAGCCAAGGUGGACUUGGCCACAUGACUGGUGAGUUUGGGGAAGACAGGGACAGGACAGCCCUUUGUUCCUCCUCUGACAGGCGGGCACUUCUGCUGCACUGGGGCUGCUGCUGCCUUUCCCGCAGGACAUGUCCAUCCCCAUCACUCUGGAGCAGGAGAGAGCUGAGCUCCCACGGCCCCUCAUUCCCAGACAAAGGCUCUCCUUUGCAUUCGGUGGGGGGGGGACACCGCUGAGAGGGUGCGGGAGCGCUCUCCUGGUGCUUCUCCUCCACGGCUCUUUGCUCUAUUUUCCUUGGCAGCAGGUGGGCCUCGCAGCUGGAGGAUCUAUCUGCCCUGGCCGUUUGCACGGCGAGGGACUUCGGCUGCUGCAGAGACACCUGGGCUGUCAGAGUCUGACCCUGCCGGGGCUCUCUUUGGCCGGCCCCUGGCAGAUGUCUGCAGCCAGGAUGGAACGCUGCCCCAGACCAUCCAGGUAACCAUCCUGGCCAGGGGUGCCCAUCCCUCUAGCUCCUCCAGAGAAGUGGUGUCCAAAGCGGAGGGACCCCAGGUAGAUGCUGGGGAUAAAGCCGGCUCCUUGCCAUGUCACCCACCCCUGCAUCCUGCCCCAACAAGAGCUGCAGAGCUGUCCACGCUUGCUCCUGCCCCUAAGGCAGCUUCACCUGCCCCAAGACCUGACUCCAGAGAAGCAACUCUCCUCCUCUCUGCCCUGCAGGACCUGCUCGCACACCUCCAUGAGCAUGGGCCAUCCACGCAGGGGAUCUUCCGCCUGGCGGCCAGCGAGCGUGCCUCCCGUGAGCUUCGGGAGGCACUCGACAGAGGAGAGGAGGUCCACCUCAAAAGCCAGCCUACACACCUGCUGGCCGUCAUCUUGAAGGUGAAGCCUGCUGACCUGGGGCCUUGCAGCUUCUGGCUCUGUUGGUGCCAAUGGGCACCUUUGAGAGCAGGAGCCAAAACCCAGCCGCCUGCUCCUGAGGCAGAGUGCCGGGGAUGCUGCCUGUGCUCCCAGCAGGAGUGUCCAAAGCCUCACCCGCAGCCCUUGGCAUUGCAGGACUUCCUCCGCAAGAUCCCCUCUAAGCUCCUCGAAGCUGAGCUCUAUGAGGAGUGGAUGAGCGCCAUGCAGAAGACCAGCAGGCAGGAGAAGUUGUCAGCACUGAAAGAGUAAGUGUGGCCAGCAGCCUGCCUGCUCCACAGGGACUGGCAGAGGCUGGGACGUGCCUGCAAAGCAACGGUCUCCUUGAAAAAGCUCUCUUCUCUGCCAGCCACUGCUGGCUGCUGUGGGGUUGGGUUUGCGGGGAAAGGGGCACAGAAAAGCAU